CUCUAUGGCGGUCGUGCGUGGGAGACUUUCGGGUCUGCCGGGGUCCGAUAUGCCCGGUCUUGCACACCUGCGUACGGCUGCCACCCUC
rnacentral:antisense_RNA from 1 species